rnacentral:rRNA from 1 species
UGUCCUACGGGAGGCAGCAGUGAGGAAUAUUGGUCAAUGGACGCAAGUCUGAACCAGCCAUGCCGCGUGCAGGAAGACGGCUCUAUGAGUUGUAAACUGCUUUUGUACGAGGGUAAACGCAGAUACGUGUAUCUGUCUGAAAGUAUCGUACGAAUAAGGAUCGGCUAACUCCGUGCCAGCAGCCGCGGUACUACGGAGGAUUCAAGCGUUAUCCGGAUUUACUGGGUUUAACGGGUGCGUAGGCGGUUGGGUAAGUUAGAGGUGAAAUGCCGGGGCUUAACUCCGGAAUUGCCUUUGAU